rnacentral:rRNA from 1 species
GCAUAUCAAUAAGCGGAGGAAAAGAAACUAACAAGGAUUCCCCUAGUAACGGCGAGUGAAGCGGGAAGAGCUCAAAUUUAAAAUCUGGCAGUGUAUUCUGUCCGAGUUGUAGUCUAGAGAAGCAUCAUCCGUGCUGGACCAUGUACAAGUCUCUUGGAACAGAGCGUCAUAGAGGGUGAGAAUCCCGUCCUUGACAUGGACUCCCAGUGCUUUGUGUUGUGCUCUCAACGAGUCGAGUUGUUUGGGAAUGCAGCUCAAAAUGGGUGGUAAAUUCCAUCUAAAGCUAAAUAUUGGCGAGAGACCGAUAGCGAACAAGUACCGUGAGGGAAAGAUGAAAAGCACUUUGGAGAGAGAGUUAAACAGUACGUGAAAUUGUUGAAAUGGAAACGCUUGAAGUCAGUCGCGUUCUCUGGGAUUCAGCCUUGCUUUUGCUUGGUGCAUUUCCUAGUCUACGGGCCAGCAUGAAUUUUGACCAAUGGAAAAAGGCUGGGGGAAUGUGGCACCUUCGGGUGUGUUAUAGCCCCUUGUCACAUACGUUGGUUGGGAUUGAGGUCUUAGUGCACGCUUCGGUUGUGCUUUGAUGCUGGCGUAAUGGCUUUAAACGACCCGUCUUGAAACACGGACC